rnacentral:rRNA from 1 species
CCCUUAGAUGUUCUGGGUCGCACGCGCGCUACACUGACUGGUGCAACAAGUGUCGCUCCUUGGCCGAUAGGCCUGGGCAAUCUUUGAACGCCAGUCGUGAUGGGGAUAGAUUCUUGCAAUUUUUGAUCUUCAACGAGGAAUUCCUAGUAAACGCGAGUCAUCAACUCGCAUUGAUUACGUCCCUGCCCUUUGUACACACCGCCCGUCGCACCUACCGAUUGAAUGGUCCGGUGAACCCUCCGGAUCGGCCCGCGCCAACGCAAGUUGAGCAAAGGCCGAGAAGUUGGGUAAACCUUACCAUUUAGAGGAAGGUGAAGUCGUAACA